UACGAAGGGGGCUAGCGUUGCUCGGAAUCACUGGGCGUAAAGCGCACGUAGGCGGCUUUCUAAGUCAGGGGUGAAAUCCUGGAGCUCAACUCCAGAACUGCCUUUGAUACUGGAGAGCUUGAGUCCGGAAGAGGUGAGUGGAACUCCGAGUGUAGAGGUGAAAUUCGUAGAUAUUCGGAAGAACACCAGUGGCGAAGGCGGCUCACUGGUCCGGUACUGACGCUGAGGUGCGAAAGCGUGGGGAGCAAAAAGG
rnacentral:rRNA from 1 species